UCUGAGUAUGCGAGUAUAUUUACAGCAAACUUCAUCCAGAGCAUAACCGAGCACAGAGAGGACCAACAUGAAAGUGUGAUAAAUCCUGUCAGCACAAAUUUGGUGACUGAUCACUGACCCCCAAAAUGACACUGUGAGAUGUGAGAUGAAGGUUUUCUUGCUUGCCGAGCUACAAAAGAUGUGUGAAUGGACCCCGACGAGACAGAAAAGAUAGGAGCUUCCAGAGGACUAAGCACUACCAGAAGGACAUGAUCUAUUGAUGAACGAUUUUAUCGCCUCUUCUCCGGACCAUAGGGAGGUCAGAGGGCGCUGGCAGUAAAUAUCUGAUCUGAAGAAGAAUCCCCUUGGGGCGAGUGGGGAGUCACUCAAGUUUUAAUUUUCAAAUGUGAGAGUGAAUUGAUAUGAUAUUCUAUUCCUCUGUGUUGUUUCUUAGUUAAUAGCAUGUAUACAUCUAAUAUAUAGACACGGUCUGUGUAUAUUAAUUGCUGGCUUCUUAACUUAUUUGUCAUGUCUAAGGCAAUUAUGUGGAUUAUGAAAGGCAGGGGCCUCAGGCCUUGCUCUUUCCCACUGUGGAAACUUGCAUGGCACAUUUGUGUAACUGUGAGUGUUAAGCAAGCUGUUUCUAAAGGGCCUUUUGCAUAACCUGCCAUGCCACCUACACAGUACAGGAGAGUAGAUAAGGGGUUAUUUAAGCAAAUAACAAUGAUCUUAUCACAGAGGAGGCUUUCUCUGCUGAGAAUAUAGUAGCAGCAACUGCUGGCACACCACAAUUAAAAUUAUUUAAACAAACCUAAACUGCAGGGUAAAAGAUGAAAACCAGGAAAUGACGAAAUCAUAUUGCAGGCCAGGAAGAAAGGCAGAGACAGUCGGAUUGAAUCAGAGCGUGAGAGAGCAGUGUAAGAGGGUAGCAGCUCACAGAAUUCAGAAGGUCUUGACAUUUGGGAUGAUUGUAAAAAAAAAUGGGCAUGAGCUGGGCCUAGGGGCAAAUAGCUGCUAUAACAUGUCAAAGAAUGUGCAUGUCAAGCCUACACUUGUUAAACAGAGAUGAUUUCACAGAUAUUCACACAGCAGGGCACACACACACAAGCACACACAAGCAAACAAAAGCUACUCAUACCCAUAGUUUUACUGCCCUCUGCUGCUUUCUUUAAUUAUAUGAGCAAGAUCUAUACAACCUCUAAAUUCACUACAAUGCAUAUAUACAACCAGAAUACUGUAAACAAAGCUGUGUUUUCUACUGAGUCCGGCUGUAUUUGUAAGUAAAAUGAGAUUUAUCUUUUCUUUGACUACCACCAUAAUCAAAGCUCAUCAGAGCGCGUUUGUGUGUCUAUCUGUCUGUCUGUCUGUCUGCCUGCCUGCCUGCCUGCCUGCCUGCUGCUCCCCUCUGCUGGGUUCUCCAUGAUACUUCAGCUUCACAUAGGGUGAGUAUCUCUCCCUUAUUAGACAAUCAAGUAUCUAUCUGAUAAAUGGGCCACGAUAAGAUUCAGAGAAGAUACGUUUUAAAUUGACGUGAUUCGGAGCGAUUCAAUAUAAUAUGAUGCAAUCUGACACGAUUUCUAUUUAAUGUAGACAUUAAUUUGCCCUAAUAAAUUUGAAGAAAGCAAUUAUGUUAAAGCAUUGCUUAGCUUCACAUAGAUAUUUCAUAAAAGAGAAUGCCAUGUAUUUUUCGUUCAUUUAAUUUACCUUUAUCUUAUUGACUUUAUCUUAAUUACUUGAAUGGGCAAAGAUGGACAAAAAGACUUGAGGCUUACUGCAUGAACAAACAUUUUUAACAUUAAGAAUAUGAGGCCAAGUCUUUCUGGCACCCCCAUGCCCAGGUGCCUCAUUUUGGCAGUUAGUUGCAUGGAGAAAUAUAAAAAAAAGUCUUAGCCUCUGUAGCCCCGGUUGUUUCUUGUUUUUUAAUAGUCAUUAAAAGGCAGACUUAAGAGAACAGACUAACAUUAUGAAGAUAACAUUGUUUAAUCUCCUGAACGGUGCCCCUUUGAUGGAGGAUAUUCACCACUCCUAACCUCAAAGUCUAGCCUCACUACCUUAUUCUACCACUGCUUAUUGCUCUUUGGUGAAUUCACUUUACAGCUCCCUGGCUUUGUCCUCCUUUUGGAAGUAUUUCUGUCUCGCUCUAUAAAAACAGAAUUGUGCCUUUUGGGAAAGAAUCAUUUUGAGUUUGUUCCUUAGUCUACAGAGCCUAAUCAGAUUUAUGCAAAUCUCAUUAGUUUGUGAUUUUGUCUGUGAAUGAUGUCCCCUUUUCAAACACCUGUCAGAUUUAUUUUAAAACGAGUUAACAUAUCAAACUAAAUAUGAGACAAUGUUUUCUGUUAUAUUUAGAUUAUAUAUAUCUUAUAUUUAAUCUUUCUAAAGGGUGUGUUUUACUACAUUUGUUGUGGCAAUCUCAGUUCAAUCUCUCGAGAUUUACAUUUAAAUACAUGUCUGUUAAUUACUAUUGCCAAAUGAGGUAAUACAAUGUAAUUUAAAUAUUUAUGUUUUUGCAGUAUUACAACCUGGAAGAAAAAUUCUGUAUUAUGUUUCUGCAAAUAUAAUAUCUUUAAAAAGAUCUGCAUGUAAAUGCAGAAUGCUAAAUGUUUGCCAGAUGGUAGCCAAGGCAUUCUGAGAUUGCCAUUAAUGAAUAGUGAACAUUUCGUUCUAAUGACUUCAAUUACAAAAAAAUGAAAGGAAAUGCAAUUUGUUUGUCAAUAAACUUAGCACAUAUUACUAUCAUUUAUCAAAAAUGCAUCUACAAAAAAGGACAACGGUAUUUUUCAGAGGAUCAGAUUGAAAUAUGCCAUGAUGCCAUCAGGUCAAGCAAGGCAAGUAGUGCUUAACAAGUUAAAGCUCAAAAUAGACAUCAAUGUGGAAGCGAUGUCUUUUCUCACAUCAGAUUUCAGAACAGCAUUCUGUCCAAUAAAGGAUCUCAAAUUCUUUGUUUGCAUUCAUUUUGUUAUUUACUGCCAGCUUGCGGCAGACGCAGGCUAUUGUGCCUGGAAGCUAGCAAGACUUCCAGCUGAUGCUCCUAAAUGUAAAUAGAACGUUGUUUGUAAUCAUCUUUAUUUAGAAAUUUAAUGAAUACAGUCUUAAAAGUCUGUGAUGAUGGACAACUAGCUCAGCAGUCAAGAGACUAAACACUGAAGAGAAUCUUUAAAAAGUUGUAAUUACAAACACCUUUAAGACAAUCCAACACAAAUCCAGCCACAAAAAUCAUCUUAGAGCUGAGCUAAAACAGUAUAAUAUUCACAAAGAUCUGUUUUUUCUGGCUAUUGUAUUUUGUACAAUACCUUGUGUGGGUUGGUGUACCUAAAAUACCCGGAGAUCAGUGUGCCUGGUACUGUUCUCUAAGCAGACAAAAAACAAAUAUCUCCACUUUUGGAAAGGACAUAAGUCAAUCAUCAGCUCUUAUGUACAGUAGGUCAUACUGUACAUUGGUGAGGCCG